rnacentral:rRNA from 1 species
ACGCUGGCGGCUGCCUUAACAUGCAAGUCGAACGGCAGCACGGGGGCAACCCUGGUGGCGAGUGGCGAACGGGUGAGUAAUGAAUCGGAACGUGCCCGGUAGUGGGGGAUAACCAGUCGAAAGACUGGCUAAUACCGCAUACGACCUACGGGUGAAAGCGGGGGACCGUAAGGCCUCGCGCUAUCGGAGCGGCCGAUUUCCGAUUAGCUAGUUGGUGAGGUAAAGGCUCACCAAGGCGAUGAUCGGUAGCUGGUCUGAGAGGACGGCCAGCCACACUGGGACUGAGACACGGCCCAGACUCCUACGGGAGGCAGCAGUGGGGAAUUUUGGACAAUGGGCGAAAGCCUGAUCCAGCCAUGCCGCGUGCGGGAAGAAGGCCUUCGGGUUGUAAACCGCUUUUGGCAGGAACGAAACGGCGCGAGCCAAUACCUCGCGUUAAUGACGGUACCUGCAGAAUAAGCACCGGCUAACUACGUGCCAGCAGCCGCGGUAAUACGUAGGGUGCAAGCGUUAAUCGGAAUUACUGGGCGUAAAGCGUACGCAGGCGGCUUGGUAAGACAGAUGUGAAAU